CAGCCGCCGCGGGAAUACGGAGGGGGCUAGCGUUGUUCGGAAUUACUGGGCGUAAAGCGCACGUAGGCGGAUCCUUAAGUCAGAGGUGAAAUCCCAAGGCUCAACCUUGGAACUGCCUUUGAUACUGGGGAUCUCGAGUUCGGGAGAGGUGAGUGGAACUGCGAGUGUAGAGGUGAAAUUCGUAGAUAUUCGCAAGAACACCAGUGGCGAAGGCGGCUCACUGGCCCGAUACUGACGCUGAGGUGCGAAAGCGUGGGGAGCAAACAGGAUUAGAUACCCGUGUAGUCCCUGUCUCUUAUAC
rnacentral:rRNA from 1 species